rnacentral:rRNA from 1 species
UACAGAGGUGGCUAGCGUUGUUCGGAUUUAUUGGGCGUAAAGGGUCCGUAGGCGGUCCGGAAAGUUGGAUGUGAAAUCCUACAGCUUAACUGUAGAACUGCAUUCAAAACUCCCGGACUUGAGUGUGAGAGGGGUAAAGGGAAUUCCCGGUGUAAGGGUGAAAUCUGCAGAGAUCGGGAAGAACACCAGUCGCGAAGGCGCUUUACUGGCUCACUACUGACGCUCAGGGACGAAAGCUAGGGGAGCAAACGGGAUUAGAAACCCUGGUAGU